rnacentral:rRNA from 1 species
CCCUGCCCCCUGGAUUCAUUCAUUCAUUCAUUCUCCCUCCCCUCCUUCCUUCCUACCUAAUCCUAGAGGAGCAUAGCUAGGGUUCCUCCCCGCAGCCGUCGCCUCCUCUCCUCUCCUCACCCCGCCGCCGCCGGCCAACGAGAUCCAGCCAGCGAGAUCCGACCGACGCCGUCUCCGUCUCCGUCUCCGCCUCGCCGCCGCCGCCUGCUUCGGCAUGUCGCAUUCCAACGAAGUAAGGUACACCGCGCGCUCCAUCACGCCUCCGGCAGACAGGGACAGCGGCUCCAAGUCGCCCCCACCACGGAGGCGCGCGGCUUCCAAGUCGCCCCCACCACGGAGGCGCGCGGCUUCCAAGUCGCCUCCCCUGCCUCCCCCUCCCCCUUUCCCUCCCAAGGGGGUGCGCACCAUCUCGAGGUCGCCUCCACCUAGUAGUAGAAGACGCAGCGUCUCGAGGUCCCCUCCACCAAAGAGGCGCGGCAGGUCCAGGUCCAGGUCCAGGUCCAGGAACAGGAGCCGCUCCAGGAGCAGAGACAAAGACGAUGUGAGGAAUCCUGGCAACAACCUCUAUGUCACUGGACUGUCCACACGGACGCAGGAAACUGACCUGGAGAAGUUCUUCAGCAAAGAGGGCAAGGUUAAAGACUGCCGUGUCGUUAUCGAUCCUCGUACGAAAGAAUCACGUGGCUUUGCGUUCGUGACCAUGGAGAAUGUUGAGGAUGCAAGGCGCUGCAUCAAGUACCUGCACCGUACUGUACUUGAAGGCCGCCUCAUCAGUGUGGCAAAGAAUUAUUGAACUAAAUGCUGGCUGCACCCACCUGUUGGUUUGUACAACCUCUUCUUCAACCUUACAAUCUGUUGCCUCUCGAAUCUCCAUCACCCUCACGAACAUCACCAUCACGCUCGUGAUCAUCGCCUACUACGCUGUCUGCACCGACUUCGAGUGAGAGCACGGCUCGGAACGCUGCACUGCUACGCGUCACCACCGACCGACCGAGCACCUCAUUCUGGGGACCUUGGAGUGAGAGCGCGGCUCUCGAGGCUGCACUGCUACGCGUCACCACCAACCGACCGAGCACCUCAAGUCAUUCUGGCGAUCUUCGAGUGAGAGCGUGGCUCUCAAGGCUGCACUGCUACGCGUCACCACCGACGGACCGAGCACCCAAGUCAUGCUGGUGAUCUUGGAGUGAGAGCACGGCUCUCAAACGCUGCACUGCUAUGCGUCGCCACCGACUGACCGAGCACCUCAAGUCAUGCUGGUGAUCUUGGAGUGAGAGCGCAGCUCUCAAGGCUGCACUGCUACGCGUCACCACCGACCGACCGGGCACCUCAAGCUACUCUGGUGAUCCUGGAGUGAGAGCGCGGCUCUCAAGGCUGCACUGCUGCGCGUCACCUCCGACAGACCGAGCACCAAAAGUCAUUCUGGUGUUCUUGGAGUGAGAGCUAUGCGUCACCACCGUAGACCUCCCCGUGUUACGUGUAGCUACUGUGGCAAAGAGAACUCGUGAGAGGACCCCUACCCCUGGAGAAUACUGUGGUCCGAGAGGCGGGCGCUCCCGGGUGGAGCCGCGGCGGAGCCGUUCUCCACGCCGUUCCAGCAGGUCGUCGAGGGACCGGUCAAGGUCGCCGGCCGCAAGGAGGGACAGGGACAGCAGGGACAGGAAGCGCGACUGAAUGAAACAAGGCAAGGGGAGAAACAAAAUGAUGCUAAAAUCACAUAUCGCCGCGAGUUGUCGAGUAUGAAUGUGUCUUGGAUUCUUUGUUGCUGAAUGAAUGUUUGUUUGAUGAAGGAGGACUCUAGUCAGUAUUUCUGCUGGAUGCUUUCUUUAGAUAAGCAGCUGAUUUGUCUUGUCUUUCUGUUUUAUCAGAGGAGAGGAUUUCCCUAACAUUCAUUUCUUUUUAGGUUUUGUGUUGUGUAUGGACGAUGAAGGCGCAUUUCGUGUUUUUAAGGUUUCUCGCUAUCGAAUCGGAUGCGUCUAUUUGGUUGUAUGAGCACCUUUGUCUUGUCUUGGCUGGAUGCUAACAUUAUUAUUAUUAUUAUUAUGUCUGUGAUGGUAUGCAAAAAAUUUGAAUUUGUGUCUG